rnacentral:rRNA from 1 species
UACGUAGGGCGCGAGCGUUGUUCGGAAUUACUGGGCGUAAAGGGCUCGUAGGCGGCCAACUAAGUCAGACGUGAAAUCCCUCGGCUUAACCGGGGAACUGCGUCUGAUACUGGAUGGCUUGAGUUUGGGAGAGGGAUGCGGAAUUCCAGGUGUAGCGGUGAAAUGCGUAGAUAUCUGGAGGAACACCGGGGGCGAAGGCGGCAUCCUGGACCAACACUGACGCUGAGUGAGCGAAAGCCAGGGGAGCAAACGGG